AUUGAACGCUGGCGGCAUGCUUUACACAUGCAAGUCGAACGGUAACAGGCCGCAAGGUGCUGACGAGUGGCGAACGGGUGAGUAAUACAUCGGAACGUGCCCGAGAGUGGGGGAUAACGAGGCGAAAGCUUUGCUAAUACCGCAUACGAUCUCAGGAUGAAAGCAGGGGACCGCAAGGCCUUGCGCCCACGGAGCGGCCGAUGGCAGAUUAGGUAGUUGGUGGGAUAAAAGCUUACCAAGCCGACGAUCUGUAGCUGGUCUGAGAGGACGACCAGCCACACUGGGACUGAGACACGGCCCAGACUCCUACGGGAGGCAGCAGUGGGGAAUUUUGGACAAUGGGCGCAAGCCUGAUCCAGCCAUGCCGCGUGCAGGAUGAAGGCCUUCGGGUUGUAAACUGCUUUUGUACGGAACGAAAGGACUCCUUCUAAUAAAGGGGGUCCAUGACGGUACCGUAAGAAUAAGCACCGGCUAACUACGUGCCAGCAGCCGCUGUAAAAC
rnacentral:rRNA from 1 species